rnacentral:lncRNA from 1 species
UGCUUAGCAUCGUCAAUUAUUUAUCUUGGUAUCAUGAGAUUAAAGUUUUUGUAUUCAUAUAAUCUUGUAGAUAUACUCAUAAUUUUUGGAGAUGCAUUUCUUUAUUUCUUUCUUUUAGGGAAAAAACUAUAACAAUGUUUUGAGGAAUUGGUGUAGAAUCUACAAGUAUCAUGAGCAAGGAAGAGAAAUUCAAAGAGAUAGUUAUGCAUUAUUAUGCCAUGAGACUCAAAGUUAAACCAAUAUCAAAGUGUAUGCAUCUAGUUUAAGUUCGAGGGAGCUUGCCAUGCUGAUGCUCAUGUAAACCGACAAGGUCCAAGUUCGCCCGUUGAUACUUGAAGCUUG